UACGUAGGGUGCGAGCGUUGUUCGGAAUUACUGGGCGUAAAGGGUUUGUAGGCGGUUGAACAAGUCAGUGGUGAAAGCCCAGAGCUUAACUCUGGAAUUGCCAUUGAAACUGUUCAGCUUGAGAGUGUUAGAGGAAAGUGGAAUUCCUAGUGUAGGAGUGAAAUCCGUAGAGAUUAGGAGGAAUAUCGAUGGCGAAGGCAGCUUUCUGGGACAUUUCUGACGCUGAGAAACGAAAGCGUGGGUAGCAAACAGG
rnacentral:rRNA from 1 species